UAGUGGCGAACGGGUGAGUAACACGUGGGCAAUCUGCCCUUCACUCUGGGACAAGCCCUGGAAACGGGGUCUAAUACCGGAUAACACUUUCACGGGCAUCUGUGAGGGUUAAAAGCUCCGGCGGUGAAGGAUGAGCCCGCGGCCUAUCAGCUUGUUGGUGAGGUAAUGGCUCACCAAGGCGACGACGGGUAGCCGGCCUGAGAGGGCGACCGGCCACACUGGGACUGAGACACGGCCCAGACUCCUACGGGAGGCAGCAGUGGGGAAUAUUGCACAAUGGGCGAAAGCCUGAUGCAGCGACGCCGCGUGAGGGAUGACGGCCUUCGGGUUGUAAACCUCUUUCAGCAGGGAAGAAGCGAAAGUGACGGUACCUGCAGAAGAAGCGCCGGCUAACUACGUGCCAGCAGCCGCGGUAAUACGUAGGGCGCAAGCGUUGUCCGGAAUUAUUGGGCGUAAAGAGCUCGUAGGCGGCUUGUCACGUCGAUUGUGAAAGCCCGAGGCUUAACCUCGGGUCUGCAGUCGAUACGGNCUAGCUAGAGUGUGGUAGGGGAGAUCGGAAUUCCU
rnacentral:rRNA from 1 species